UUGUCCGAGCGACGUGUCACAUUCCGAUCGAAUCGAUCUCCGAGCCCCCGCUACGCGUGGUAAACAGAUUCUGAAGCAAGAGACGGUAUAAUUGUCGAGAGAAUAAUCCCAGAGUAUUGUUCAAACUCGAAACAUCGCCCAGUUCGAGCGUCUCGAUUCAAUCACUUACCCUCAGUUGCUCCGCGACCGAGAAUUCCGAACGCCGCAAUCAACAACAAAGUGACGAUCGGCCGCCGGCCAGCUGCAGCUCAUUUCAUUCGUCACUGAACUCUAGGCAAGCGGAAAAGAAGACCUUACAAUGAUUCUGUAACGUAAAAAACCACACGGCCGGUGGAGAGGUUUGAACGUAUCUCGGAGCAUCGCAGCGUCUCGUGUGUCGCUCGCCGGGAGUCGAGUGAGGAGUGAAGUCAACCGCGGCUGGCCGGCCGAUCGUCACUUUGUUGUUGAUUGCGGCGUUCGGAAUUCUCGGUCGCGGAGCAACUGAGGAAUCUGUUUACCACGCGUAGCGGGGCUCGGAGAUCGAUUCGAUCGGAAUGUGACACGUCGUUCGGACAAACGGAGAGUUUAUUUACUUCCGACAGCAGCCUCGUUCGGCAGACGACUUCGGACCGAGCACGGCGUCGAAUCUUCUCGAAGGUGAGAGAAUGCUCGCUUCUUCCUGUCUCCCGUCAUUCGGAACUGCGGAGGGUGAAUUACGUCAACAAAGAUGCGAAGCUGGUCGAGCUGCUGCCGCGGCCAACUCCACUCGAAACCGGACGUCGAACGAGGAAGACGACGUUGAGAGGUAAACGUGUGGGAAAGGAGGAAAAACAUGUUUAUCCUGGACUUCCAGAGCAAAGUGUCGCCCGCUUCAGGAAGAGAAUCGGCGGUCCACGUUCUGCGAUUCGGAGCUUCUUCACAUCGUAGAAUCGAAACUCUGGAUACAAGGCUGCGACUCGGAGCUUCUUCACAUCGUAGAAUCGAGACUCUGGAUACAAGGCUGCGACUUGGAGCUUCUUCACAUCGUAGAAUCGAGACUCUGGAUACAAGGCUGCGAUGCGUCGAUUCCAAUAUUGAGCAUUUUCACCGAGGAGACGAUAGGAUACUCGGAGGACUUUUUGGUGCUCGAGAACACCGCCUGGAAAUCUGGGAUUCUCUGCUCGGCAGGUCAACUCUUUUGCAUCAUCCUCACGGCCGACAACCAGGGCCAACUUGCUCACGGUUGAAUUGCUUCGCUGAGUAGAGACGAUUGAAGGAUCUCGGAUUAGGUUUCCAUCCAGCAUCCAUACUAUCCUUGCGGCCGGUGAACUCCCCCAAGUUUCGCACCUCGCUCCCACCGGACGUCCUGCGUAGAUCACUUCCGUAUCAAGGACGAUCUUCACCACUGCGGGCUUUACUGAAAUGGAAUACGGAUUUAGAUUAUUCUUUUGAUCACAAGGUCAAUGGCAAUUUACCCCAAGACACUGAUCGACGAUAAAUAUGGAAGAUGAUCUACGUAACCGUUGAGGAUUGGAUGCAUCGUUUUCCAUCGCAACCGAUCAGAGACGUCGAGCCUCGACUACGCUUAGUAGACACGCAAAAUUAAUUCGGCGUGAAGUUGGUGAAGGCUAUGAUACUUGGAAAAUUCAAGGAAAUUCAGAAGGCUGAAGUGGAGAAUGAAAAACAGCGAAAAAUCAGGGCCAGAAAUUUGGAUCCUGGAAGCAGAAGAACGGUUGAAGAAGCCAAAUUUUCGGGAGCACCGCCAUUCCAUAACUAUUACGGCUCAACUCACCGUCAAGAGGAUCUACCCAAAUACACAAAUCCUUGUCCUCCACUUCUUCGAGAUCCUGAGGAAGCCGUACGCCAAGAACCUGCUGAUCAGAGUCAGUUACCACCCAAUCGGAAGGGACUUCGCAGUUUGACGGUCCCUCUUCUCCGAUUAUAGCGACGUUGGGAAACUGCCUGCUGAGAGAAGCGACGAUACACCUUUGCGCCGAUCUGUCAGCUUCGGUUUGGGGAUCGUUCUUUCCCUUGUUCACUAUGUUCAGUUCGCCUCCGGUCAUCACGUCCCUGAUUAUCUUUCCGGCACGUCCAGCUACUGUCACUGAGGAUGCGACCACGCGCAAAAGAAGUGGAGCACUCUGCGCCAUAGCGAUGAAAUCGGAUGCCGGCUUGUCUGAUUG
rnacentral:misc_RNA from 1 species